rnacentral:rRNA from 1 species
GAUGAACGCUAGCUACAGGCUUAACACAUGCAAGUCGAGGGGUAACGAGAGGAAAGCUUGCUUUCCUUGUCGACGACCGGCGCACGGGUGAGUAACGCGUAUCCAACCUGCCCCCAACUAGGGAAUAACCUUGCGAAAGUAAGACUAAUACCCUAUAAUUUCCUCAGAUGUCAUCUGACGAGGAAUAAAGAUUUAUCGGUUGUGGAUGGGGAUGCGUCUGAUUAGCUUGUUGGCGGGGUAACGGCCCACCAAGGCAACGAUCAGUAGGGGUUCUGAGAGGAAGGUCCCCCACAUUGGAACUGAGACACGGUCCAAACUCCUACGGGAGGCAGCAGUGAGGAAUAUUGGUCAAUGGGCGAAAGCCUGAACCAGCCAAGUAGCGCGCAGGAUGACGGCCCUAUGGGUUGUAAACUGCUUUUAUACAGGAAUAAAGUUAGCCACGUGUGGUUAUUUGUAGGUACUGUAUGAAUAAGGACCGGCUAAUUCCGUGCCAGCAGCCGGCAGUAA